rnacentral:sRNA from 1 species
AAUACCGGAAUAAUUACCGAAUAGUUUAAAGGUGCAAAAAGUAAUUAAAAGUUAAGCAAAACGGUAUUGGAACUGUUACGGAUAUUCUAAUAAUUUUGGCGCUGGUUUGUGGGUUAUUAAAAACUUUUCAGGUUUUUAAAUGGCUUUGUUUAAAAAUAUUAUUUCAUAUUACCUUAUUUCCGAUGGUGGGAAAAUAUUCCAAUGCUCACCAAUAAUGCGAUCGACAUACCUUUUGGAAUAUCGCAAAGGAAAUUCAAUUGAAAUAUAAAGGAUAUUUUCUAAGUUAUAUUUUAUAUUUGCUCCUGUUUAAUUUUAUAAUUUAUACCGUCUAAUUAUUUCUUGGGCCAAAAAAAACUAUUAAAGUUCGUUACGUCGCCUCAGGUGGUUGGAAAAUGGUUAGUAAUAACGGCAGCGAUAGGGAGCGGAAUGUUUAAAUUGAGGAAGUUUUUCGCGAUAUUUAUUUUAUCCCUUUAUAUAGCUGGCGCUCCAAUUAACCUGUAAAUAUAUUAUUAUUUAUUUGCAUUUUCCAUUAAUAAUUAUUUUUUUUAACAAUUUACCCGCAGAUAUAUUGGUAAUAAACCAGGUUAACCCGUGGAAUAUAACCCUGUUAAAUAAUCCACGAAUAAUAUUAGUAAGAUUUAUAUAAAAUUGCCUAAUACCGUAUAUAAUUAUUAUAAUAUUAAUUAUUCGUUUAACCAAAUAGGCCUGAAUUUUUUCAAUUAUAUAGGAGGCCCUCCAUAUCCGCGGUUUGGAGCAAAAGCGCAAUCCAAUUUAAAGGCCUGGGGCGACAAAUUGCGGGGUUCGGCGUUUAAUUGCGACAAUGGGGGUUUACGGGCGGAUCGUUUCACAUUUUUUCCACCAUCCAGGAGGUUUUUUAUUGGUAUCCGGUGGGGAGAAAUAUAUAAAAAUGCGUGUUAGGGUAUAUAAAUAAUCCUGGUUUGCAUUUUAGCAGUUUAUUACACCGGUUUAAUAAUUUAAAAACGGCGUUAUUUGUUAAUUUCGCAGGGUUCCGUUGCUCGUUACAAAUUGCAUUUAUUUUAUAAAUGUUCCUUAUUAAUUAAUAAAUUAAUUAUAAACGCAAUAUAUUCUAUUGUCGUAUAAAAUAAUUAAAUAACCGUUUAUAUAUAAUGUAAUACCGCGUUUAACAAGUCGGACGGACCGUCCGGAUUCGAGAGUUUUAAAUUUGGGGUUAAGUUUUGUAUAAUAUAAUACGUGGUAGUAAAAUUAAUUAUCCUCCGUUUUACUAAUACCGGCGGUCCCAUUCGGCGUUGGGCAAAACGGAGUUUUGGGUGGUUGAAAAAACCGCAUUAUUAAUCGCCCACAAUUUAAUCUAUUGCACUCUUUUUCGGCCAUAUAAUUAUUAAUUUAUAAAUGCACAGGCUACUAUACCCGCCGACGCUAUUACCACCAUUACCACCUUUUGGAAAAUGUGCGCAUGGUUUUUUAAAAAUGGCCUGGUCGACUAUAUAAUUUCUUAUCGUUCGAUAAUUAACUUUUAAUCUAAUUAAUUAAUUUCGCCACGUAUUAUUAUAUAAUACCGAACCCCGCAUUUUACCGCCCCAAAAAUAGUGUGCCACGGUAAUGGAGGGCCCUUUGCAUCGUAAUGGACGCCCUAACGGAUUAUUAAAUUAUAAUGGCAGUUUUGCGAAAAUGCAAGGUUUUUUGGCAGGUAAUAACCACCGUUAAAACAUUCCUAAUGCAGGAACCUUCCAUUAGCGAGGCGGGGAGCAAACGCGCAACCCGGUUAAUUGGCCUUGCAGAAUUAAAUAAAAUAAUGGUUUCGACUGGGGAAUAAUAAACGGAUUAAACAGGUAGCCAAAACCCUAUUUUGGCACCGCAAAUUAUUUAUUUGGCACGACGGGUAAUUUAAGUCGUAUUAACCUUCGUUCCGAAAGAUUAUUGGUUUAUUAACCUAAAUUGGCAGCGUGGGUAUUAUAAAAGCACGUUAAAUAUUAUUAAGUUUUCCGUCACUAUUACAAAAUUCCCAUUGUGCAAAUUUGAAAUUCGUGCAGGGUUUUUAAAAUGAAAAUGCAAUGUUAUUCUAUUAUUAUAUUGGUAGCCCAGUUUGAUUGGCGAUAAAAUAUAUAAAUAAUUAACCCUAACCCCAAACCAAUACAAAUUAUCGGCAGGGUAGUAAGUCUUAUUACAAUUAUGCGGGUUAAGGUUUUCGAACUUAAAUAAAGGGAUAGUUCGAUUUGCAUUUUAGAAAAAGUAGUUAUUUAAACUGUUAAGAUGAAAAAAACGUUAAAAUCUUCAGGCGAAAACAUAAGUAUAUUGGGCAUUGGGUAUUCCCUGCUUUAAUUAAAAGUUAGGUACGAUAAAAAAAUUAUAUAUAAAAAAUAAAUAAGACAGUUACCCCUUAGGGGUGGUUUAUAAAAUAUAAUAUAAUUAUACCCAAAAAUUUUCUGUCCAUUAUUUAUUACCGCCUGCUAUAUAUACGAAAUAUACCAAUUAAAUAUAUUAAUUUUACCAAUAUAUUCCGACCAUAUUCUUAUUUGCUAAAAUCUCUUUUUCGAACCUGGAUAUAAUAAAUCUACCCGUUAAUAUUCGCAUAAUUAAAUUCAGUUAUUUCGCCUUAUAUAACUGGAUCGAGCGUCCGACGCCGACCAUUAUCGUUCCGGGCAAUUCCGCCGAAUAGUUACCGCCUACCGGUUUUACCCGAUUGAAAAAGAAUACGGGUUAUUUUUAUACGGCGCAGAACUUGGCCCGCCGUCCCGAAAACCCGUUUAAACUUUUAUUUCGCGCCAUAUUCCUCACCGAUCCUUCGGUUAACCUCCGUUUAAUUAAUAUCGUAAUUAAUCGAAAUAAUAUUCGAAAAUUACUGUCGUUUGUCGAACCCAGGAACGGGAAGAACGGGGUUGAAAAUUUCGUAAUUAAUAUUAAAAUUAUUGGCAAAACGGCUCUUUUUUCCCGCGAAAAGAAGGAGGCCAGGCGAUAUAUCGUACCGAACGAGUUCCGGGGCCACGGCCACGAAUUUGAGGAGGUAUAUACCACGAGCAAAGUACAGGGCAGUAUUGGACAUUAUAGGAUCGUUUUAUAUUUGUUUGGCGAUUUUAAAUUUUUCGUCAAAUAUAAGGUAGAUGGUUAUAUUUCCCCUAUUGGAGGGGCAAAUAUAAAUAACAUUUUUAUUUAUAAAUUAUCCUUUUUGCAAUUUUCAAAGGCACCGCCGGAGCUAUUAUUAACAUUGUAUAAAUAGCCAGGGUCGAAAUUAAGGGUGGUAGUGGAGGGAAAAACGAUUUUAUUAAAAUAAUAUUUAAAAAUUAAAACCCGAGUCGCCCACAAACCCUUAUAUAUUUAAAAUAUUAUGCCACAAUUUUAGGUAUCGCAAACAACGAAAUUUGUGCGAAUUUACCACACCGGUGGCCUUUUUCAAUCCCCAAUCGUUAAAAAUAUAAUUGACGAAAUAAAAAAAUGGGAGAAAAAUAACGAAAACACUUUGAAAAAAUUAAUGGUAAUGGUUUCCAAAAUCUUUAAUAUUACCAAACGAUCUGGUGGUCCUGUUCAAAUUAAAUAUAGCGUAAUAAAGGGCCAAUUGUAUUUGUAUAAUAAUAAUUCUAUAAAUAUAUUGCCGGACAAUAUUUACGUCAAAUGGAGUUCGAUAAUAAAAAUAAAAAACUUGUUAGCUUUUAAAACUCCGGAUAUAACUUCUAAUAUUAAAAACACCCUGCCGGUUAUCGUGGGAGGGAAGCAGUAUUUCGUUAAUUUAAAUAAAUUCCCUUUUUUCCAAACUUUAAUAAUAUUGCGAUUACUAAAGUUAAAGGAGGUAGUUUUAAUCCAUAAAAAUAUUCCUUUUUUCGGGGCGAUUAAUUACAAUAUUUAAUAUAGAUUACGGAACCUCUUCAGGCGAACGCCAAAUCGCAUUUAAAACUAUUAUACCCUGUGCGAAACUCUUAAUAAUUUUGGGAUUGACGUUUGCCAGGGAUUUAAUUUCCAAAACAUUAUUAAAUUGCUAAAGGUGGAAUCGGACGAUUAUAACCCAAAGGAACGAAAAGUGAUCCGGAGGAAUAAAACGGCCGCCCGUAACGCUGCAUUCCGUUUUAUAUAUCUGUUAUUCAAAGGCGGAUCCACGUCGCAGUUUCCGUCCUCUUUAUUACCGGUAUUAUUAACACAGGACCGAACCAUCGUUUAUAAUGCGGUUAAUUAAAUCGUAUCGUAUCGCAGGAUCUUCGGCUACAAAAUACGCAAUAUGGUCCGAAAAACCUUUGAAACUGCCUCCUUUUUGACGUACAAGCAGCGUUUGGUACUGGAUAAAUGGCCAAUUACAGAGCCCAGCUAUAAUGGAUGGGAGGAUAAUAAAAUAACCAAUAACGAAGGCGAAUAUUAUAUUAAUUUGUAUUGGGGUUUAAAAUCGUCGUAAUUGGGGUUUAAUAGCGGCGGUAUCUCUUUUUAAUUGCUACAUUUAAAAAAUUUAAAACUUUAAAAAAAAACACGAACCCCUUCCGGCGCUAAAGCCGGCCGUUUAGGGUCGGUUGCCAAUAGGAACGGGUCCGAUUUAAAUUUAUCGGGACCUUAUUUCGGCCCCGCCCAAUUUAUACUACCCUGGUAUUACAUGGCCAAUCCCCUGAAAUCCUAGUUCAGCCCAAUGCGAUAGUCCUAAUUAUUCCAACUAUUAAUAGGAAUUGUAUAAUCGCUGCAAUCGGUAAAAACAAUAAAAUAAUUGUAACAGUAUUUUUAUAAAUCGUAACUAUUUAUAAUCCCGCAGAAAUUUGUUAAAAUUUCCGCUACGUUAUUUGAAAUUUCGUUGCUGUAUACGUAAUUUACACAUUCGCAUAUCUACUUAUAAAUAAACACCACCAAUUACCCUCCGUAUACUUUUUUAUUAAUUAACGAAUUGUUUAUUUCCGAAGUUUCUUUUUUUAAAUUUAAUACCAGGCAUUAUAUCGUAAACCAGUUGGCUUCCGCCAUUAACGACGUUAAAAAUAGCGAACAAUUUCAAAAAUGUUUCGCGUGGUGGUAAUUAAUUAACCAAUAAGAGUAAUAAUAUUUAUAACCAUUACAAUUACCCGUACAAUUUUCGUUGUUGGUGCGCGAAACGAAUUUCCGCCCAUUAUAAUACCCGGUAUUAUUUUGACGAGCCACCAACAGCUAUGGAUAAAUUAUUUAUUGGAAGGCCAGGCCUCCAUAUAUGCAGCCAAAAACAGGGCGUAAAAUUUAAUUUGCAGAAUUAAAAAAGGUAGCAAAAUGCGGGGUUAAUUGUCGCUUGCUAAUAAUUAGGUUAUUAAUAGUAAAAAACCACAACGAAUAAAUAUCCGAUUAUUUUAAAUUGGCUAUAUUUUCCUUUAUUUUUUUAAUUGUUUUGCGUUUAUAUUGGUUUAACCUUUAGUUGGUUUUUAUUUUUUCGGUUUUAGCAGGGAUGAAAAAAUCGUGCAUUGGACGGAUUAUUUCUUAGCUUGUAAUUUUAUAUAAGCGUCAUCCAUUUUAGGGUAGCUGGGACUUUUUGUUCGAAUAUGUAACAAAUCUGCUUUGGUUAUUAAUAAAAUGCUUUUUAAUCCUUUGCGUUGGAAAGGUACGCAUAAUGCAAUUAAAGAGCGACAUCGCAAAGGCUAUAAGCUAAUAAAACAUCGAUUAAUACGUGGUAUUACCCCCCAAUUGCUUGCAAAAAAUACCGACCCAUAAGUUAUUAUUUAAAAACUAGCCCCAGGAAUAAACCUGUAACAACGCAUUAUAUACGGAAAAUAUAU